GGCCUAAUAGUCGUUUUUUGGUAGCUACAAGCAUUGCCAUAGGUUCUAUGAUUGGGCCUAGAUAUUAGUUUUCACAUAUUGAUUGGAACCUUGAACCACACAUGGUCCAUAGAGCCAAUUAUUGAUUAAACUC